UUGGUGGUGAAAUCCCAGAGCUUAACUCUGGAACUGCCAUCAAAACUUUUCAGCUAGAGUAUGAUAGAGGAAAGCAGAAUUUCUAGUGUAGAGGUGAAAUUCGUAGAUAUUAGAAAGAAUACCAAUUGCGAAGGCAGCUUUCUGGAUCAUUACUGACACUGAGGAACGAAAGCAUGGGUAGCGAACAGGAUUAGAUACCCUCGUAGUCCAUGCCGUAAACGAUGUGUGCUAGACGUUGGAAAUUUAUUUUCAGUGUCGCAGCGAAAGCGAUAAACACACCCCCCGGGGAGUACGACCGCACGGUUAAAACUCAAAUGAAUUGACGG
rnacentral:rRNA from 1 species